AACGAACGCUGGCGGCAUGCCUAACACAUGCAAGUCGAACGAGACCUUCGGGUCUAGUGGCGUACGGGUGCGUAACGCGUGGGAACCUGCCCUUAGGUUCGGAAUAACUCCCCGAAAGGGGUGCUAAUACCGGAUAAUGUCUUCGGACCAAAGAUUUAUCGCCUUUGGAUGGGCCCGCGUUGGAUUAGCUAGUUGGUAGGGUAAAAGCCUACCAAGGCGACGAUUCAUAGCUGGUCUGAGAGGAUGAUCAGCCACACUGGGACUGAGACACGGCCCAGACUCCUACGGGAGGCAGCAGUGGGGAAUAUUGGACAAUGGGCGAAAGCCUGAUCCAGCAAUGCCGCGUGAGUGAUGAAGGCCUUAGGGUUGUAAAGCUCUUUUACCCGGGAUGAUAAUGACAGUACCGGGAGAAUAAGCUCCGGCUAACUCCGUG
rnacentral:rRNA from 1 species